GUGGGGAAUCUUGCGCAAUGGGCGAAAGCCUGACGCAGCCAUGCCGCGUGAAUGAUGAAGGUCUUAGGAUUGUAAAAUUCUUUCACCGGGGACGAUAAUGACGGUACCCGGAGAAGAAGCUCCGGCUAACUUCGUGCCAGCAGCCGCGGUAAUACGAAGGGGGCUAGCGUUGCUCGGAAUUACUGGGCGUAAAGGGCGCGUAGGCGGACAGCUUAGUCAGAGGUGAAAGCCCAGGGCUCAACCUUGGAAGUGCCUUGGAUACUGGCUGUCUUGAGUUUUGGAGAGGUGAGUGGAACUCCGAGUGUAGAGGUGAAAUUCGUAGAUAUUCGGAAGAACACCAGUGGCGAAGGCGACUCACUGGCCCAAUACUGACGCUGAGGCGCGAAAGCGUGGGGAGCAAACAGGAUUAGAAACCCCAGUAGUCC
rnacentral:rRNA from 1 species